CAUUUAGCGAGUGGAAUAGGGACCGCCCACAGCAGAGUUAAUGUGAAAUGCUGUGGGUAAGAAUUAUCAGUUAAAAAGGGUUCAAAACACAUAAAUAACUGUUUUAUUGUGAAUGUGCAUUACAGUGAACAUGUUAUGAAUCUCUUGAUGCGUGUUUGACGUCGAAUGUGUUAUUUCAUGUUGAGUUAUCUCGACUUUGUGUUACGAGGCCUGAUCGUAAUUUCUUUGUGUGUUAUCCUGUGUUUUAUGUAGGAUUCUGUAGUGUAUAGAGUGGACCUAUUUCUUUAAGUGGAAUCACUCCCCUUAGUGACUUCUGAUUGGUAAUUAGCCGUGCGCAUGGAUAUGUUGUUUUGCGCUUGCUCUGGUUAAUACAGGAGUUAACUUUACCUCCGAGUGUCUCCUUUGUUUUUUUCUUAAGUUGUAGUCUAACAUAAAGACACAACCGAUUCGUUUUAUUCCCUCUGCUACGAUCUCCUUAUUUCCACUUUUUAUGUCUCCAUUGUGCAGACUAAGAAUGGAGUUUAUUUUCUUCAUCUGGUGAUCAGUGAGUAAUCCUGAGGCGUAAGGCCGCUCUUGCCCCAGAGGCUCGGACCUCGACCUGAGUGGAGGUUUUUCUUGGGAGGAGCGGCAUGUAUCUUUCUGUGACAAAGUCAAGCAGACGCCUUAAUGCUCACCAGGGAGUUUAUUCUGAGUCUGCGCUCAGCUGUGGAUCAGUUGACCCUGCGUGAGACAUUCCUGUGGAAUUACUGCAAAGCUCCAAGAGAACUGUGGAGAUAUUGCAGAAGCCCAACAGAGCCUGGCCUUCAGCAAGUAAAACCAAUAGGAAACGGGCGGGUCCCACAGCUCCCUCCGUGUCUCUGCUCCCUCCGUCCCCUCUGCAGCUGUCUGAGGGAUCGGCCUCGCUGCUCUGCCUGCUGUCUGGCUACUCUCCACAGGGGGCGCUGGUGAGCUGGACAGUGGACGGCUCACAGGUGAAGAACGAGGUUCUGACCAGCGCAGAAGAAGAGAAGAACGGCCGUUACAGCCGCAGCAGCACCCUGACCCUCAGCAAAGACCUCUGGGAAAAGGGGGAGGAGUUCAGCUGUAGGGUCUCCCAUAACAACGUCGAUCAUCCGGUCACGUUCAGAAAGAGUCAGUGUGAAGGCUAGUGGAUCCAAGAUAGAGUUUAACAUAGAGCUGCUUAUGAUCCAUCUACAAUAGAGUUACACAAUGCUGA